rnacentral:rRNA from 1 species
GACGAACGCUGGCGGCGCGCCUAACACAUGCAAGUCGAACGGAGUCAAGAGGAGCUUGCUUUUCUUGACUUAGUGGCGAACGGGUGAGUAACGCGUGAGUAACCUGCCCUGGAGUGGGGGACAACAGUUGGAAACGACUGCUAAUACCGCAUAAGCCCACGGAUCCGCAUGGAUCUGCGGGAAAAGGAUUUAUUCGCUUCAGGAUGGACUCGCGUCCAAUUAGCUAGUUGGUGAGGUAACGGCCCACCAAGGCGACGAUUGGUAGCCGGACUGAGAGGUUGAACGGCCACAUUGGGACUGAGACACAGCCCAGACUCCUACGGGAGGCAGCAGUGGGGGAUAUUGCACAAUGGGGGAAACCCUGAUGCAGCGACGCCGCGUGGAGGAAGAAGGUUUUCGGAUUGUAUACUCCUGUCGUUAGGGACGAUAAUGACGGUACCUAACAAGAAAGCACCGGCUAACUACGUG